UACAGAGGGGGCAAGCGUUGUCCGGAUUUAUUGGGCGUAAAGAGCGUGUAGGCGGCUAGGUAGGUCCGUUGUGAAAACUCGAGGCUCAACCUCGAGACGCCGGUGGAAACCAUCUAGCUAGAGUCCGGAAGAGGAGAGUGGAAUUCCUGGUGUAGCGGUGAAAUGCGCAGAUAUCAGGAGGAACACCGGUGGCGAAGGCGGUUCUCUGGGCAUUACCUGACGCUGAGGAGCGAAAGUGUGGGGAGCGAACAGG
rnacentral:rRNA from 1 species